UACGUAGGGUGCGAGCGUUAAUCGGAAUUACUGGGCGUAAAGCGUGCGCAGGCGGUCUGUUAAGACAGAUGUGAAAUCCCCGGGCUUAACCUGGGAACUGCAUUUGUGACUGGCAGGCUAGAGUAUGGCAGAGGGGGGUAGAAUUCCACGUGUAGCAGUGAAAUGCGUAGAGAUGUGGAGGAAUACCGAUGGCGAAGGCAGCCCCCUGGGCCAAUACUGACGCUCAUGCACGAAAGCGUGGGGAGCAAACAGGAUUAGAA
rnacentral:rRNA from 1 species